CUUCCUUUUUCAAUAUGCUAAUUUUGCUGUAUGGCAUACCUUUUUUUUUUUUAACUCUUACCUCUUCUGUCUUGAAAUCAGUCCUGUGUAUUGGUUCCAAGGCAGAAGAGUGGUAAGGGCUAGGCAAUGGGGGUUAAGUGACUUGCCCAGGGUCACACCGCUGGGAAGUGUCUGAGGCCAAAUUUGAACAUAAGUCCUUCGGUCUCUAGGCCUGGCUCUCAAUCCACUGAGCUACUACCCAUCUAUCCCCUGGCAUACUUUUUAAAAUUUAGUUUCACCAAACUUUUCCCCCUCUGCUUUUUUCAUUCUUUAUAAAGGACAGUUGUCUGGCAAGGAUUGGGAAAGAGAAUUGAUGGGAAAUAGAGAUCAUGUGAAAAAACAAGGAUAAUAAAAUUUAUUUUAAAAAGAAGAAACUUACUUCACUAUAAGUAUUAGCUAUUAUUUUUAGAUCCUGAAUGUAUCAUUUAAUGUUAGAUAUACCUUUUUAUGGCAAUCUAUAAAUUUAAUAAGAAUUCCAUCUAUGCCAUUAUCAAAGUCAUUGAUAAAAAUGUGCAGGAGAUCUCCUUCUAAGGGGAGUCUUUAAUGUCCAUGCUCUUUAAUUCAGCACCUAUCUAUUAUUACCUGACCAACUGACUAUUUCACCAAAACCAUGUAAUAUUGCUAAAUGUUUAAUGAAAUAAAUAACAUUCCCAUCUUAUAUAUCACAAAAGCAUUUGUACAAUAACUUUAGUAUAUAUUAUCAUAAGCAAUGCCAGAUUUCAGCCUGAGAGUUCAAAAGAAUAUAAAAAAAAUUAUGAAAUAUUUAAAUUAACAAAAUCUAAUCCUAUGGAACACUAUUGAAUAAGUAUGGUAUAAUGCAUCAAGAAAAUCCUUACUAGGAAGAAUUUUUAUAUGCAACUUAUCACUAUGAAAUGGUCCGGGGAAAGGAUUUUAAAUCUUUCAAGGUAAAAUUUCUUCUGUGCUUGUUAAUCUUAAUGACAAUAUAAGUCUUUUAAAGCAUUUUACUCCUGUUUGCAGAGUCACUGGAACCAAACUGUGCCUGGAGUCACUUCACCACUUUCUUGAAGAAAUAGAACCUGCUUCAGAUUAAGAUCACGAGAUAGAUGAUGAUGAUGAUGAUGAUGAUGAUGAUGAUGAUGAUGGUCGUGUAAAAAGGAGAAGCAAAACAACUGAAACUGAAUAUUGUGAAAUGUUUACUCCAAUUCAUAGUUUCGGAAUUCUGGGAAGAUGGCCACUUAGAUGCAGCAAAAGUCCAGACCUCUCUGAAAACCCUUCCACACCAAUCAAAAACAAAGUGCUUCGAGGGGAUAGAAAGCCCAAAUUUAACAACAGAACAUAGCUGGGGGACCCUCCUGCUGGAUUCAACUUAAAAGGUAUGCAAAAAAAAAAAAAGCCUGAAUUCUUAUACUCUUGGGUUCAAGAGAAAGGAAGAAGGAAGGUCCCAAGACCCCUCCCCACCUACUGUGCUGAGUCUCCAGUGGUCCCUGGAAUCUCUGGGUGGGCAAGGGUGCUAGUCUGGAGGGGGUGCCUUGCUAGUACAGCUGUGCCAGACUCAGGGCAUUGAACACAGAAGGAAGAGAGGCAGCUGGAGGAGAAGUGCAAAAAGGGUAGCCUACCUAGUCCCAAGCAAAAA